GUGAAAUGAUGAAGUGAAAGGUGUCAAAUUUUGAUACAAUAAGGCCAAAUUAUUGAAAAUAAAGGAUUGUCAUCAACCUUAUCACUUUGCACGACCAAGACUCUGAAAAACAGAGAGAAAAGAAAACCAAAAACCAUUUCUUGGCUGGUUUGAAGAGAUUCUAAGGAGAUCCAAGUGAAAUCAAAGCCAAAGAAGUGGAAUAAGCUUAGUUUUGACCUUUUUAUGAUAUUUCUUGGUGGUUUCCAAGUGGUUUGAGGUUUAGAAAAGCUAUUAGAGAUCAUUUUCGUCGAAAAGUUGCUCGGAUAAGAACAUCAACACCUAAGACACCACUUGUUACACGGUGAAAUAUAUUUUGGACAUAAUGUAAGUAAAGUACUCAACUGCAACACAAGAAUUACAUGUUAUGUGAAAGUAUGCAUUAUAUGAAUAUUUUGUGAGUAAGUGGUAUUAACAUACAUUGACACUUCAUCAUAAAUUUGUAUGCAUGACAUAAUAGUGAUAUGGUGAGUUAUUGUAUGAUAUAAGACCAUGCAUGAUAUUAUGAUGAUUAAUUAUGUGAUGCCUUAGCAAGUUUUAUGCAACAUAAAAGUAAGUUGUAAUAAGAAGUUAAGUUCAGUGCCACUGUUUUAAAAAGACAAAUGAAAGUGUAAGUAAGUGUAAACGGAGGCCUAUAGUUAGGCUCAUAGUGGCAGCCCAAUAAUUUGUGCUAGAUUUUAGUGAACCAAUUAUAUUGUUUGCCAUGUUUCCGUUUUUAUUUCUCCUCCAUAUGAGUUAUUGUUAUAUGUAUUGACACCACAGUGUGUGGUCGCCUUAACUCUUGAGCCCGACGGUGAGCAUUGGGCGGGUUGGUCGGGUUACAAUGCAUUUUUACCUGUCCAAUGUCAUAAUCGGGUUAGCAAAAGUGACCCGUAACUUGCCCAAUUAAGAAAUUUUUUUUUUUAACCCGUCCAAUAAUUUGGGCGGGUUGGUCGGGUUAACCCGCCCAAACCGAAAUUGUAUUUUUUUUUGGCGGGUUGGUCGGGUUGGGCGGGUUGGUCGGGUCAACCCGCCCAAACAAAAGUGGUAAUUUUUUUUUUUAACAUUUUUGUAAUUUUUUUCUUUUAAAUACUAAUACUAAUAGUGUGAAGUUUAUAUUUUUAAGCUUAAAACAAUAUUUUAAAUUUAUAGUAAAAAAAUUAAAAUAAAACUUAAUCAAUUUAUAUAUUUAUUUGAAUUUAUUAAAAAUAAUAAAUUCUUAAUUGGGCGGGUUGAUAAUUAUUUUCAACCCGCCCAAUGUAACAAUUGGGCGGUUUAAAUUUUGGUCGGUUUAUUCGGGUUGCGUUUUUUGGCGGUUUUUUCGGGUUGGUUUGGGCGGGUUGUAAAAUUUUUUGCACAGUGAUUUGUACAUAUGAACAUAUCGACAUUUUGUGGGUCAUUUCAGUUUAUCAGUGUGAUAUUUGUAACAAAGUGUGAAGUUAGGUUUUGAAAACAAAUUGGGUUAUUUAAUACUUAUGUAUAAUAUGUUUGAGAUACACUUUAUGUUUAAUGUAAAUAAUAUGAAAUACGUUUUCUUACAAAGAAAAAAAAAAUCCAGACUUCCGCAGAAAGAAAAUAUGAUAUAGUUUUAAAACGUAACACCUCAGAUAUGAUUUUAACUAAAAUAAGUGAGGGUGUUACACCCUUGAUCGGCCACAAGAAGUCUCUCGCAUCCAAGAGGAACUUUCCUACCUGCUCGGCUCCCGAGAAGGGACGGUCUCCAAGGAAGUGUUUAGGGCCACAUAGAUGAGCCAAACGACAACGUAGGUAUCAUCUAGGUACAUGUUGUCCAGGAGUUCAAAAAUACGCAUAACAAGUACAAACCAACAAUAUUGAUGAUAUUAUACACCAAAAUUCGUAAAAAUUCGAAAUCUAGGGCUCCAAAUAUUAUUCAAUCUAAUCUACACAAAAAUUGUAAAAUGUUUAACUUGUUCUAUGUGAUUCAUAUUUGAUCGAUACAUUAUUACAUUGUAUAUAUAUAGGAUUGUAAUCCCAAUUAGACCCCUAUCAACAUUUUCCUACUCAAUCUCUAUGAUUUUAAUACACUUAUGCAAUCUUUAAUACAUGGUAAUAGACAUAAUUUUGUAAUCUUCGGAAUCGUUGGCUUUCUCAACAAAAACUACAAAUGAAAUGAAAAUAAACCAUAAAAACCUAAUAGAAAACAAUGGGUAACAUUAUUUUAACUAGAAAUUAAGUUUAAAACAUCCCAAAUACUUUAAAAAGCUUAAAAACGAGCAGCAACAUUGUUCGUGAGAUAGGAAAAGUAAAAACAAGAGAGGAAAGUCGUCUUAACCUAUAUAAGCGGGCUUAUGUAACUUAGGACGUGUUUGGA